CACGUAGUUAGCCGUGGCUUCCUCCUCAGGUACCGUCAUUAUCGUCCCUGAAGACAGAGCUUUACAACCCGAAGGCCGUCAUCACUCACGCGGCGUUGCUGCAUCAGGGUUUCCCCCAUUGUGCAAUAUUCCCCACUGCUGCCUCCCGCAGGAGUCUGGGCCGUGCCUCAGUCCCAAUGUGGCCGAUCACCCUCUCAGGUCGGCUACGCAUCGUCGCCUUGGUGAGCCGUUACCUCACCAACUAACUAAUGCGCCGCGGGCCCAUCUCAUAGCGGAUUACUCCUUUAAUUGCUACUUCAUGCGAAGCUACAAUCUUAUGCGGUAUUAAUCUCCCUUUGGAAGGCUAUUCCCCUCUAUGAGGCAGGUGCCCACGUGUUACUCACCCGUCCGCCGCUAGUCUUUGUUCCGAAGAACUCCACUCGCUCGACUUGCAUGUGUUAGGCACGCCGCCAGCCGUCGUCCUGACGUCGACGGAGUCUAAACCUCU
rnacentral:rRNA from 1 species